rnacentral:rRNA from 1 species
CGCUGGCGGCAUGCCUUACACAUGCAAGUCGGACGGCAGCACGGGAGCAAUCCUGGUGGCGAGUGGCGAACGGGUGAGUAAUAUAUCGGAACGUGCCCAGUCGUGGGGGAUAACGCAGCGRAAGCUGUGCUAAUACCGCAUACGAUCUCUGGAUGAAAGCGGGGGACUCAGCAAUGGGCCUCGCGCGAUUGGAGCGGCCGAUAUCASAUUAGCUAGUUGGUGGGGUAAAAGCCCACCAAGGCGACGAUCUGUAGCUGGUCUGAGAGGACGACCAGCCRCACUGGAACUGAGACACGGUCCAGACUCCUACGGGAGGCAGCAGUGGGGAAUUUUGGACAAUGGGCGAAAGCCUGAUCCAGCAAUGCCGCGUGCAGGACGAAGGCCUUCGGGUUGUAAACUGCUUUUGUACGGAACGAAACGGUUCUCCUUAAUACGGAGGGCUAAUGACGGUACCGUAAGAAUAAGCACCGGCUAACUACGUGCCAGCAGCCGCGGUAAUACGUAGGGUGCGAGCGUUAAUCGGAAUUACUGGGCGUAAAGCGUGCGCAGGCGGUUAUAUAAGACAGAUGUGAAAUCCCCGGGCUCAACCUGGGACCUGCAUUUGUGACUGUAUAGCUAGAGUACGGUAGAGGGGGAUGGAAUUCCGCGUGUAGCAGUGAAAUGCGUAGAUAUGCGGAGGAACACCGAUGGCGAAGGCAAUCCCCUGGACCUGUACUGACGCUCAUGCACGAAAGCGUGGGGAGCAAACAGGAUUAGAUACCCUGGUAGUCCACGCC